ACUUAAGUAAUUAAAAUUAUAAUAUAAUAUUGAAGCUAUUAAUUUAGGAUAUUUAUCCUCUUAAGUA
rnacentral:tRNA from 1 species